rnacentral:rRNA from 1 species
UACGUAGGGGGCAAGCGUUGUCCGGAUUUAUUGGGCGUAAAGAGCGUGUAGGCGGUCAGGUAGGUCGGUUGUGAAAACUGGAGGCUCAACCUUCAGAGGUCGACCGAAACCCCCUGGCUAGAGUCCGGGAGAGGAGAGUGGAAUUCCUGGUGUAGCGGUGAAAUGCGCAGAUAUCAGGAAGAACACCCGUGGCGAAAGCGGCUCUCUGGAACGGUACUGACGCUGAGAAGCGAAAGCAUGGGGAGCGAACAGG